UGGAGCAUGUGGUUUAAUUCGAAGAUACACGAAGAACCUUACCUGGCCUUGACAUGGUAGGAACCCUGUAGAGAUACGGGGGUGCUAGCUUGCUAGAGCCUACACACAGGUGCUGCACGGCUGUCGUCAGCUCGUGUCGUGAGAUGUUGGGUUAAGUCCCGCAACGAGCGCAACCCUCGUCCUUAGUUGCUAACGGUUCGGCCGAGCACUCUAGGGAGACUGCCUUCGCAAGGAGGAGGAAGGUGAGGACGACGUCAAGUCAUCAUGGCCCUUACGGCCAGGGCUACACACGUGCUACAAUGGGGCGUACAGAGAGCUGCGAUACCGCGAGGUGGAGCCAAUCUCUUAAAGCGUCUCUCAGUUCGGAUUGUUCUCUGCAACUCGAGAACAUGAAGCUGGAAUCACUAGUAAUCGCAGAUCAGCUAUGCUGCGGUGAAUACGUUCCCGGGUCUU
rnacentral:rRNA from 1 species